rnacentral:rRNA from 1 species
AAAUUGAAGAGUUUGAUCAUGGCUCAGAUUGAACGCUGGCGGCAGGCCUAACACAUGCAAGUCGAGCGGUAGCACAGAGAGCUUGCUCUCGGGUGACGAGCGGCGGACGGGUGAGUAAUGUCUGGGAAACUGCCUGAUGGAGGGGGAUAACUACUGGAAACGGUAGCUAAUACCGCAUAACGUCGCAAGACCAAAGUGGGGGACCUUCGGGCCUCAUGCCAUCAGAUGUGCCCAGAUGGGAUUAGCUAGUAGGUGGGGUAACGGCUCACCUAGGCGACGAUCCCUAGCUGGUCUGAGAGGAUGACCAGCCACACUGGAACUGAGACACGGUACAGACUCCUACGGGAGGCAGCAGUGGGGAAUAUUGCACAAUGGGCGCAAGCCGGAUGAAGCCAUGCCGCGUGUGUGAAGAAGGCCUUCGGGUUGUAAAGCACUUUCAGCGGGGAGGAAGGCGAUAAGGUUAAUAACCUUGUCGAUUGACGUUACCCGCAGAAGAAGCACCGGCUAACUCCGUGCCAGCAGCCGCGGUAAUACGGAGGGUGCAAGCGUUAAUCGGAAUUACUGGGCGUAAAGCGCACGCAGGCGGUCUGUCAAGUCGGAUGUGAAAUCCCCGGGCUUAACCUGGGAACUGCAUUCGAAACUGGCAGGCUAGAGUCUUGUAGAGGGGGGUAGAAUUCCAGGUGUAGCGGUGAAAUGCGUAGAGAUCUGGAGGAAUACCGGUGGCGAAGGCGGCCCCCUGGACAAAGACUGACGCUCAGGUGCGAAAGCGUGGGGAGCAAACAGGAUUAGAUACCCUGGUAGUCCACGCCGUAAACGAUGUCGAUUUGGAGGUUGUGCCCUUGAGGCGUGGCUUCCGGAGCUAACGCGUUAAAUCGACCGCCUGGGGAGUACGGCCGCAAGGUUAAAACUCAAAUGAAUUGACGGGGGCCCGCACAAGCGGUGGAGCAUGUGGUUUAAUUCGAUGCAACGCGAAGAACCUUACCUGGUCUUGACAUCCACAGAACUUUCCAGAGAUGGAUUGGUGCCUUCGGGAACUGUGAGACAGGUGCUGCAUGGCUGUCGUCAGCUCGUGUUGUGAAAUGUUGGGUUAAGUCCCGCAACGAGCGCAACCCUUAUCCUUUGUUGCCAGCGGUUAGGCCGGGAACUCAAAGGAGACUGCCAGUGAUAAACUGGAGGAAGGUGGGGAUGACGUCAAGUCAUCAUGGCCCUUACGACCAGGGCUACACACGUGCUACAAUGGCAUAUACAAAGAGAAGCGACCUCGCGAGAGCAAGCGGACCUCAUAAAGUAUGUCGUAGUCCGGAUUGGAGUCUGCAACUCGACUCCAUGAAGUCGGAAUCGCUAGUAAUCGUAGAUCAGAAUGCUACGGUGAAUACGUUCCCGGGCCUUGUACACACCGCCCGUCACACCAUGGGAGUGGGUUGCAAAAGAAGUAGGUAGCUUAACCUUCGGGAGGGCGCUUACCACUUUGUGAUUCAUGACUGGGGUGAAGUCGUAACAAGGUAACCGUAGGGGAACCUGCGGUUGGAUCACCUCCUUACCUUAAAGAA